UUGGCCUCGAUUCGGAUCUGGAUCUCUGCCCGAGUGGCCUCGUCAGCUGCCCCCAACAGCUCCGCCUGGGCCUUCUCCAAGUUCGCCUUGGCUGCCUGCAAGGGAUUGAGGGACGGUGAGGGGCCAGCAGGGACCCCAGCCCGGCUCCUGGUCCCCCAGCGCUCCCUCCCCCGCAGCCUGGACAACUCCCGCCCUGCCUCAACUGAGACGGAGACUGACCUGGGAUGUGCAGCCCGGGUCUGGCCUGGCCCUGCAGCCCUCCACCGAACUCACCGAAGUAUUUGGAGGUGGUGCCGUCCUCUGCAUGCACCACAACCAGCCCCGGCCGAAGGACCUGCAGCGUGGGCACGUGGGCCGCCAGGAUGCCGAAGGCUCCGGUCAGCGUUGGCACGUCCACCUGCCGGACGUUGGCACCGUUGAAGAACACCUGCGACAACAGCGUGGGGGAAUGAUGGCGGGGCAGGCCGGCCCCGCGCCCACCCCGGACUCGGCCUGUCCUGCUGAGAAAUGGGUCCGGGCAGGACCUGGCGCUGAUGUGAGGCACUGAGACAGCCCAGUGCAGGAUCAGAGAUUGCAGCUUUGGUCC